UACGGGGGGUGCGAGCGUUGUCCGGAAUCACUGGGCGUAAAGGGCGCGUAGGUGGCAUGAUAAGGGUGUGGUGAAAGCCCGGGGCUCAACCCCGGGUCGGCCGUGCGAACUGUCGAGCUGGAGCACUGUAGAGGCAGGUGGAAUUCCGGGUGUAGCGGUGGAAUGCGUAGAGAUCCGGAAGAACACCGGUGGCGAACGCGGCCUGCUGGGCAGUGGCUGACGCUGAGGCGCGACAGCGUGGGGAGCAAACAGG
rnacentral:rRNA from 1 species